AUUGAACGCUGGCGGCGGGCCUAACACAUGCAAGUCGAGCGGAUGAAGGGAGCUUGCUCCUGGAUUCAGCGGCGGACGGGUGAGUAAUGCCUAGGAAUCUGCCUGGUAGUGGGGGAUAACGUCCGGAAACGGGCGCUAAUACCGCAUACGUCCUGAGGGAGAAAGUGGGGGAUCUUCGGACCUCACGCUAUCAGAUGAGCCUAGGUCGGAUUAGCUAGUUGGUGGGGUAAAGGCCUACCAAGGCGACGAUCCGUAACUGGUCCGAGAGGAUGAUCAGUCACACUGGAACUGAGACACGGUCCAGACUCCUACGGGAGGCAGCAGUGGGGAAUAUUGGACAAUGGGCGAAAGCCUGAUCCAGCCAUGCCGCGUGUGUGAAGAAGGUCUUCGGAUUGUAAAGCACUUUAAGUUGGGAGGAAGGGCAGUAAGUUAAUACCUUGCUGUUUUGACGUUACCAACAGAAUAAGCACCGGCUAACUUCGUG
rnacentral:rRNA from 1 species